rnacentral:rRNA from 1 species
CAGCGAUGGCCGUGUAGUGGACUGCCAUGGCGUUGACGGGAGCGGGGGAUUAGGGUUCGAUUCCGGAGAGGGAGCCUGAGAAAUAGCUACCACUUCUACGGAGGGCAGCAGGCGCGCAAAUUGCCCAAUGUCAAAAAAAAACGAUGAGGCAGCGAAAAGAAAUAGAGCCGACAGUACCUUUUGGUAUUGUCGUUUUCAAUGGGGGAUAUUUAAACCCAUCCAAAAUCGAGUAACAAUUGGAGGACAAGUCUGGUGCCAGCACCCGCGGUAAUUCCAGCUCCAAAAGCGUAUAUUAAUGCUGU